GACGAACGCUGGCGGCGUGCUUAACACAUGCAAGUCGAACGGAAAGGCCCUGCUUUUGUGGGGUGCUCGAGUGGCGAACGGGUGAGUAACACGUGAGUAACCUGCCCUUGACUUUGGGAUAACUUCAGGAAACUGGGGCUAAUACCGGAUAGGAGCUCCUGCUGCAUGGUGGGGGUUGGAAAGUUUCGGCGGUUGGGGAUGGACUGGCGGCUUAUCAGCUUGUUGGUGGGGUAGUGGCUUACCAAGGCGUUGACGGGUAGCCGGCCUGAGAGGGUGACCGGACACAUUGGGACUGAGAGACGGACCAGACUCCUACGGGAGGCAGCAGUGGGGAAUAGUGCACAAUGGGCGGAAGCCUGAUGCAGCAACGCCGCGUGCGGGAUGACGGCCUUCGGGUUGUAAACCGCUUUCGCCUGUGACGAAGCGUGAGUGACGGUAAUGGGUAAAGAAGCACCGGCUAACUACGUG
rnacentral:rRNA from 1 species